AUGGGCAGCCGCUGGAGGCGGAAGGUGAGGUGGGAGAGGAAGAGAGGUGUGGCUUUGGGAUCUAGCUGCGGUACCGGUGGAGAGAGAUCGCAGGGGAGAGAGAGAGAGAGAGGACACCGCCGUGAGUGGUGAAGUUGUAGCAGCCGCUGGUGUUGGUACCGGAGGUGGAGGGGAAGGGAGGGACCGACCUCUAGGUGAGUUAAGGAGAGGGAGGGGGCUAAGGAGAGGUUAGGGCGGUGAUCGGCUGAUGGUGGGGGUGGCCGCUGGAGGGAGGGAAGGAGGACUCUACAUGCCACACCGUUCUGCCUAGCGGCCUAGGGGCGGCACGGCCUGGCCACUCUAGGUCGAGGAACGGCUAGGGUACCGGAGGCGCGGCCCCGCUCAGGAGGAGGAGCAGCGCGACAGCGGAGGAGGGAGUGCCCCGCGUGCCUGCGGGAAGCCAGCGACCCGCAGCCGCUGCUCCGCCCCCGACCCCGGCGGCGCGUCCCCCUGCUGUGACACCUGGAGUCGGGGUGGUCGAACCUGCGGAAGGAGUGCCGGAGCGCCCUCGUCAAGCGGCAGCAGCUCAAGAAGCGGGUGACCAAUAAGAUUAGAUCAACACACUUCCCCUUGUUCGUCCCGGUUAGAUGACGACGACGACACGAGGGGAACUCGAUAAACCAUUUCCCGUUCAACCAGGUAUCCAGGAGGAGGGGACGAUAGAGAGAGAGAGACGACGUAUCUAUCCAAGACAAAAGAAAACAAGAGUAAGAUCAGAUUCGUAAACGUCUAAGGUCAUUCACAGAUACAUACACCUAAUAUUCAGCCUUGUAAGAUCAAAGCGGAGUAAGAUUACACAUAAACGGCACACACACCAAUAUAUGGGAACAAAUACAACACACAGAUACGACAACACUAUGGACUAUCGUAACAGACCACAUAGUUAAACAACAAUUACCUUUACAAUUCUUUCGGACUUUAAAGACAGGUACCUCUUACGAAGUAUAAGUCAGACUUUAAAAACAGGUGAUUAAAUGAACUUCGGUGAUGUGUUUAAAAAACAAAGCCACGCUCGGAACAUUAACAUAGAAACACCAAAGAUUGUACUAACAACAUCCGAUGUUCUAUAUAGAGACGGCCAAGUAGAACGACAUCUUAUACGGGGAUAAGUAAGUAAAUACACAUAACGAUAAACGGAGACCACUGUACACUCUUCUUGAGUAGAUAUACAAAUAUAAAACUCGGCGACCCAUGUUGAUGUCAACGUUUUAGUAGGUCGGUUUAAAACCCUCCUACCGUAUUUUCUAAUGUAUUGGGUACGAAAACUUUAGUACCAUAAGAUAAAUACGAGGUAAGGCUUUAGAUAACACGUGACGGUUCAGGUACUCCGCUUCGCGAGUGACGAGCUGAUAAAGAAAUAACUUGACCCUCGUUGUUUCCUCUCAAUACACGACUAAAAAAACUUCUUCGACCUUCAGGUUCAGUUGCUGAACGAAAUAUACAAACAACAUUACGGCAUAAAAGACCCUUAAACCUACAUAACAACUAGAACCACUCUUAAACCACGUAUAAACGAACCACUUGAAUAAUAAGUUUACGAUCCUAUAUACAUGUUUAGGAACCUUAUAAUAAGAUACAAAUGAACUUUACAUAAGAACCUAACUUUCACCAGUUUUUCUCUUAUAUAACCAUAACUUAAACCC
rnacentral:rRNA from 1 species